rnacentral:rRNA from 1 species
CCCUUAGAUGUUCUGGGCCGCACGCGUGCUACACUGAUGCAUUCAACGAGUCUAAAACCUGGUCUGAUAGGGCUGGGUAAUCUUUUGAAAGUGCAUCGUGAUUGGGAUAGAUGAUUGCAAUUCUUCAUCUUCAACGAGGAAUGCCUAGUAAACGCAAGUCAUAAGCUUGCAUUGAUUACGUCCCUGCCCUUUGUACACACCGCCCGUCGCUCCUACCGAUUGAAUGAUCCGAUGAAUACCAUGGAUUGAGAGUACGAAUGGGUUCGCUCAUUUCUGCUGCUCGAGAAGUGGAGUAAAUCUUAUCAUUUAGAGGAAGGAGAAGUCGUAACA